AUUGAACGCUGGCGGCAGGCCUAACACAUGCAAGUCGAGCGGUAGCACAGAGAGCUUGCUCUCGGGUGACGAGCGGCGGACGGGUGAGUAAUGUCUGGGAAACUGCCUGAUGGAGGGGGAUGACUACUGGAAACGGUAGCUAAUACCGCAUAAUGUCGCAAGACCAAAGUGGGGGACCUUCGGGCCUCAUGCCAUCAGAUGUGCCCAGAUGGGAUUAGCUAGUAGGUGGGGUAACGGCUCACCUAGGCGACGAUCCCUAGCUGGUCUGAGAGGAUGACCAGCCACACUGGAACUGAGACACGGUCCAGAAUCCUACGGGAGGCAGCAGUGGGGAAUAUUGCACAAUGGGCGCAAGCCUGAUGCAGCCAUGCCGCGUGUAUGAAGAAGGCCUUCGGGUUGUAAAGUACUUUCAGCGGGGAGGAAGGCGAUAAGGUUAAUAACCUUGUCGAUUGACGUUACCCGCAGAAGAAGCACCGGCUAACUCCGUGCCAGCCGCCGCAGUAA
rnacentral:rRNA from 1 species